rnacentral:rRNA from 1 species
CUCUAUUAGAAAUUAUUAAUAGUAAAAUCUGCUCAAUGAAAUUUAAAUAGCCGCAAUUUGUGCUAAGGUAGCAUAAUAAUUUGUCUUUUAAUUAAAGACUAGAACAAAAGAUUUAUCAUUUUGAAUUAUAUUUACAAUUUAAGUAUUUAAAUUAUUUUAAACGUAAAAAAAUUUUUAUAGAAACAAAAGACGACAAGACCCUAUUGAAUUUUACUUAUGUUUUACUGGGGUAGUAAAUUAAUUAUUAUUUUAAUAAAAAUCAACAUUAACCAACCUAAUAAAAUUAUUCUAAACAAAUUACCGUAGGGAUAACAGCGCAAUAAUAUUUUUAAGUCCUUAUUAAAAAUAAUGAUUACGACCUCGAUGUUGAUUUAAUUAUCUAAUUAACGCAACCGUUAAUUAAGUAA